GACGAACGCUGGCGGCGUGCUUAACACGUGCAAGUCGAACGGAAAGGCCCUGCUUUUGUGGGGUGCUCGAGUGGCGAACGGGUGAGUAACACGUGAGUAACCUGCCCUUGACUUUGGGAUAACUUCAGGAAACUGGGGCUAAUACCGGAUAGGAGCUCCUGCUGCAUGGUGGGGGUUGGAAAGUUUCGGCGGUUGGGGAUGGACUCGCGGCUUAUCAGCUUGUUGGUGGGGUAGUGGCUUACCAAGGCUCUGACGGGUAGCCGGCCUGAGAGGGUGACCGGCCACAUUGGGACUGAGAUACGGCCCAGACUCCUACGGGAGGCAGCAGUGGGGAAUAUUGCACAAUGGGCGGAAGCCUGAUGCAGCAACGCCGCGUGCGGGAUGACGGCCUUCGGGUUGUAAACCGCUUUCGCCUGUGACGAAGCGUGAGUGACGGUAAUGGGUAAAGAAGCACCGGCUAACUACGUG
rnacentral:rRNA from 1 species